rnacentral:rRNA from 1 species
UACGGAGGGUGCAAGCGUUAUCCGGAUUCACUGGGUUUAAAGGGUGCGUAGGAGGGCAGGGAAGUCAGUGGUGAAAUCUCCGGGCUUAACUCGGAAACUGCCGUUGAUACUCUCUGUCUUGAAUCCCGUGGAGGUGAGCGGAAUAUGUCAUGUAGCGGUGAAAUGCUUAGAUAUGACAUAGAACACCAAUUGCGAAGGCAGCUCGCUACACGAAGAUUGACUCUGAGGCACGAGAGCGUGGGGAUCAAACAGG